rnacentral:rRNA from 1 species
GGGUUGUGAGGUUAAGCGACUAAGCGUACACGGUGGAUGCCCUGGCAGUCAGAGGCGAUGAAGGGCGUGCUAAUCUGCGAUAAGCGCCGGUAAGGUGAUAUGAACCGUUAUAACCGGCGAUACCCGAAUGGGGAAACCCAGUGUGAUUCGUCACACUAUCAUUAACUGAAUCCAUAGGUUAAUGAGGCGAACCGGGGGAACUGAAACAUCUAAGUACCCCGAGGAAAAGAAAUCAACCGAGAUUCCCCCAGUAGCGGCGAGCGAACGGGGAGGAGCCCAGAGCCUGAAUCAGCAUGUGUGUUAGUGGAAGCGUCUGGAAAGGCGCGCGAUACAGGGUGACAGCCCCGUACACAAAAGCGCAUGUGCUGUGAGCUCGAUGAGUAGGGCGGGACACGUGGUAUCCUGUCUGAAUAUGGGGGGACCAUCCUCCAAGGCUAAAUACUCCUGACUGACCGAUAGUGAACCAGUACCGUGAGGGAAAGGCGAAAAGAACCCCGGCGAGGGGAGUGAAAAAGAACCUGAAACCGUGUACGUACAAGCAGUGGGNNNNNNNNNNNNNNNGUGUGACUGCGUACCUUUUGUAUAAUGGGUCAGCGACUUAUAUUCUGUAGCAAGGUUAACCGAAUAGGGGAGCCGGAGGGAAACCGAGUCUUAAUUGGGCGUUAAGUUGCAGGGUAUAGACCCGAAACCCGGUGAUCUAGCCAUGGGCAGGUUGAAGGUUGGGUAACACUAACUGGAGGACCGAACCGACUAAUGUUGAAAAAUUAGCGGAUGACCUGUGGCUGGGGGUGAAAGGCCAAUCAAACCGGGAGAUAGCUGGUUCUCCCCGAAAGCUAUUUAGGUAGCGCCUCGUGAAUUCAUCUCCGGGGGUAGAGCACUGUUUCGGCUAGGGGGCCAUCCCGGCUUACCAACCCGAUGCAAACUGCGAAUACCGGAGAAUGUUAUCACGGGAGACACACGGCGGGUGCUAACGUCCGUCGUGAAGAGGGAAACAACCCAGACCGCCAGCUAAGGUCCCAAAGUCAUGGUUAAGUGGGAAACGAUGUGGGAAGGCCCAGACAGCCAGGAUGUUGGCUUAGAAGCAGCCAUCAUUUAAAGAAAGCGUAAUAGCUCACUGGUCGAGUCGGCCUGCGCGGAAGAUGUAACGGGGCUAAACCAUGCACCGAAGCUGCGGCAGCGACACUGUGUGUUGUUGGGUAGGGGAGCGUUCUGUAAGCCUGCGAAGGUGGCCUGUGAGGGUUGCUGGAGGUAUCAGAAGUGCGAAUGCUGACAUAAGUAACGAUAAAGCGGGUGAAAAGCCCGCUCGCCGGAAGACCAAGGGUUCCUGUCCAACGUUAAUCGGGGCAGGGUGAGUCGACCCCUAAGGCGAGGCCGAAAGGCGUAGUCGAUGGGAAACGGGUUAAUAUUCCCGUACUUGGUGUUACUGCGAAGGGGGGACGGAGAAGGCUAUGUUGGCCGGGCGACGGUUGUCCCGGUUUAAGCGUGUAGGUGUGUGUUCCAGGUAAAUCCGGUUCACUUUAACACUGAGGCGUGACGACGAGGCACUACGGUGCUGAAGCAACAAAUGCCCUGCUUCCAGGAAAAGCCUCUAAGCAUCAGGUAACAUCAAAUCGUACCCCAAACCGACACAGGUGGUCAGGUAGAGAAUACCAAGGCGCUUGAGAGAACUCGGGUGAAGGAACUAGGCAAAAUGGUGCCGUAACUUCGGGAGAAGGCACGCUGACACGUAGGUGAAGUGAUUUACUCAUGGAGCUGAAGUCAGUCGAAGAUACCAGCUGGCUGCAACUGUUUAUUAAAAACACAGCACUGUGCAAACACGAAAGUGGACGUAUACGGUGUGACGCCUGCCCGGUGCCGGAAGGUUAAUUGAUGGGGUCAGCGCAAGCGAAGCUCCUGAUCGAAGCCCCGGUAAACGGCGGCCGUAACUAUAACGGUCCUAAGGUAGCGAAAUUCCUUGUCGGGUAAGUUCCGACCUGCACGAAUGGCGUAAUGAUGGCCAGGCUGUCUCCACCCGAGACUCAGUGAAAUUGAACUCGCUGUGAAGAUGCAGUGUACCCGCGGCAAGACGGAAAGACCCCGUGAACCUUUACUAUAGCUUGACACUGAACAUUGAGCCUUGAUGUGUAGGAUAGGUGGGAGGCUUUGAAGUGUGGACGCCAGUCUGCAUGGAGCCGACCUUGAAAUACCACCCUUUAAUGUUUGAUGUUCUAACGUGGACCCGUUACCCGGGUUGCGGACAGUGUCUGGUGGGUAGUUUGACUGGGGCGGUCUCCUCCUAAAGAGUAACGGAGGAGCACGAAGGUUGGCUAAUCCUGGUCGGACAUCAGGAGGUUAGUGCAAUGGCAUAAGCCAGCUUGACUGCGAGCGUGACGGCGCGAGCAGGUGCGAAAGCAGGUCAUAGUGAUCCGGUGGUUCUGAAUGGAAGGGCCAUCGCUCAACGGAUAAAAGGUACUCCGGGGAUAACAGGCUGAUACCGCCCAAGAGUUCAUAUCGACGGCGGUGUUUGGCACCUCGAUGUCGGCUCAUCACAUCUGGGGCUGAAGUAGGUCCCAAGGGUAUGGCUGUUCGCCAUUUAAAGUGGUACGCGAGCUGGGUUUAGAACGUCGUGAGACAGUUCGGUCCCUAUCUGCCGUGGGCGCUGGAGAACUGAGGGGGGCUGCUCCUAGUACGAGAGGACCGGAGUGGACGCAUCACUGGUGUUCGGGUUGUCAUGCCAAUGGCACUGCCCGGUAGCUAAAUGCGGAAGAGAUAAGUGCUGAAAGCAUCUAAGCACGAAACUUGCCCCGAGAUGAGUUCUCCCUGAGACUUAAAGUCUCCUGAAGGAACGUUGAAGACGACGACGUUGAUAGGCCGGGUGUGUAAGCGCAGCGAUGCGUUGAGCUAACCGGUACUAAUGAACCGUGAGGCUUAACCUUACAACGCCGAAG